AAAUCAUGAUGGGGGACCUUCUAAGGAGAUCCUUGAAUCUUUCAUAUGCUUCAAACAAUGUUUCGGAUUCCCCUUGUUUGAAGGCCGGAAUUUCCUGUCUCAAUUU